rnacentral:rRNA from 1 species
UGGCUCAGAUUGAACGCUGGCGGCAGGCCUAACACAUGCAAGUCGAACGGUAACAGGAAGCAGCUUGCUGCUUUGCUGACGAGUGGCGGACGGGUGAGUAAUGUCUGGGAAACUGCCUGAUGGAGGGGGAUAACUACUGGAAACGGUGGCUAAUACCGCAUAACGUCGCAAGACCAAAGAGGGGGACCUUCGGGCCUCUUGCCAUCAGAUGUGCCCAGAUGGGAUUAGCUUGUUGGUGAGGUAACGGCUCACCAAGGCGACGAUCCCUAGCUGGUCUGAGAGGAUGACCAGCCACACUGGAACUGAGACAAGGUCCAGACUCCUACGGGAGGCAGCAGUGGGGAAUAUUGCACAAUGGGCGCAAGCCUGAUGCAGCCAUGCCGCGUGUAUGAAGAAGGCCUUCGGGUUGUAAAGUACUUUCAGCGGGGAGGAAGGUGUUGCGGUUAAUAACCGCAGCAAUUGACGUUACCCGCAGAAGAAGCACCGGCUAACUCCGUGCCAGCAGCCGCGGUAAUACGGAGGGUGCAAGCGUUAAUCGGAAUUACUGGGCGUAAAGCGCACGCAGGCGGUCUGUCAAGUCGGAUGUGAAAUCCCCGGGCUCAACCUGGGAACUGCAUUCGAAACUGGCAGGCUUGAGUCUUGUAGAGGGGGGUAGAAUUCCAGGUGUAGCGGUGAAAUGCGUAGAGAUCUGGAGGAAUACCGGUGGCGAAGGCGGCCCCCUGGACAAAGACUGACGCUCAGGUGCGAAAGCGUGGGGAGCAAACAGGAUUAGAUACCCUGGUAGUCCACGCCGUAAACGAUGUCUACUUGGAGGUUGUGCCCUUGAGGCGUGGCUUCCGGAGCUAACGCGUUAAGUAGACCGCCUGGGGAGUACGGCCGCAAGGUUAAAACUCAAAUGAAUUGACGGGGGCCCGCACAAGCGGUGGAGCAUGUGGUUUAAUUCGAUGCAACGCGAAGAACCUUACCUGGUCUUGACAUCCACAGAAGAAUCCAGAGAUGGAUUUGUGCCUUCGGGAACUGUGAGACAGGUGCUGCAUGGCUGUCGUCAGCUCGUGUUGUGAAAUGUUGGGUUAAGUCCCGCAACGAGCGCAACCCUUAUCCUUUGUUGCCAGCGAUUAGGUCGGGAACUCAAAGGAGACUGCCAGUGAUAAACUGGAGGAAGGUGGGGAUGACGUCAAGUCAUCAUGGCCCUUACGACCAGGGCUACACACGUGCUACAAUGGCGCAUACAAAGAGAAGCGACCUCGCGAGAGCAAGCGGACCUCAUAAAGUGCGUCGUAGUCCGGAUUGGAGUCUGCAACUCGACUCCAUGAAGUCGGAAUCGCUAGUAAUCGUGGAUCAGAAUGCCACGGUGAAUACGUUCCCGGGCCUUGUACACACCGCCCGUCACACCAUGGGAGUGGGUUGCAAAAGAAGUAGGUAGCUUAACCUUCGGGAGGGCGCUUACCACUUUGUGAUUCAUGACUGGGGUGAAGUCGUAACAAGGUA